AACGAACGCUGGCGGCGCGCCUAAUACAUGCAAGUCGAGCGAGAAGACGUAGCAAUACGUUUGUAAAGCGGCGAACGGGUGAGGAAUACAUGGGUAACCUACCCUCGAGUGGGGAAUAACUAGCCGAAAGGUCAGCUAAUACCGCGUACGCUCCUUGGACUUCGGUUCAGGGAGGAAAGCGAUACCGUGGGUAUCGCGCUCUUGGAUGGGCUCAUGUCCUAUCAGCUUGUUGGGAGGUAACGGCUCACCAAGGCUUCGACGGGUAGCUGGUCUGAGAGGACGAUCAGCCACACUGGCACUGCGACACGGGCCAGACUCCUACGGGAGGCAGCAGUAAGGAAUAUUGCGCAAUGGGCGAAAGCCUGACGCAGCGACGCCGCGUGGGGGA
rnacentral:rRNA from 1 species